rnacentral:rRNA from 1 species
UACGUAGGGGGCAAGCGUUGUCCGGAUUUAUUGGGCGUAAAGAGCGUGUAGGCGGCCAAGCAGGUCCGCUGUGAAAACUCGAGGCUCAACCUCGAGAGGUCGGUGGAAACCGUUUGGCUAGAGUCCGGAAGAGGAGAGUGGAAUUCCUGGUGUAGCGGUGAAAUGCGCAGAUAUCAGGAGGAACACCAAUGGCGAAGGCAGCUCGCUGGGACGGUACUGACGCUGAGACGCGAAAGCGUGGGGAGCAAACAGG